rnacentral:sRNA from 1 species
GCCAGGCACAGUGGCGCAUGCCUAUAAUCCCAGCGGCUUGGGAGGCUGAGACAGGAGGAUGGCGAGUUCAAAGGCAGCCUCAGCAAAAGCGAGGCAAUAAGCAACUCAGUGAAACCCUGUCUCUA